rnacentral:misc_RNA from 1 species
UUUCCGUAGGUGAACCUGCGGAAGGAUCAUUAAUGAGUUGUCAUGGGGUUCGAUGCUGGCAGCCAAUUUUUGGAUGCAUGUGCUUGCCCUAACAAUCAUCUUUCAAACACCUGUGCACAUUUUUGAGGGAGUCUUGAGUUGGUUGCCGCUCUUGGGUGAUUUUCUCACAUUCCCUUAAAUCAUUAUACGCUAUUAACAAUGUUGAACGUGCUCUGUGCCGCAAGGCUAUUAAUAUAAUACAACUUUUAACAACGGAUCUCUUGGCUCUC